rnacentral:rRNA from 1 species
UACGAAGGGGGCUAGCGUUGCUCGGAAUCACUGGGCGUAAAGCGCACGUAGGCGGCUGUUCAAGUCAGAGGUGAAAGCCUGGAGCUCAACUCCAGAACUGCCUUUGAAACUAGACAGCUAGAAUCAUGGAGAGGUGAGUGGAAUUCCGAGUGUAGAGGUGAAAUUCGUAGAUAUUCGGAAGAACACCAGUGGCGAAGGCGGCUCACUGGACAUGUAUUGACGCUGAGGUGCGAAAGCGUGGGGAGCAAACAGG